rfam:Hymenolepis diminuta genome assembly, scaffold: HDID_contig0001567
GCUUCAUAGUUAUGACGGCUGCAAUCGAAACAGUAUAACUUCUGUAUUGCAGUCUGAUGUUUUCUGAAGC